rnacentral:tRNA from 10 species
UCCUCUGUAGUUCAGUCGGUAGAACGGCGGACUGUUAAUCCGUAUGUCACUGGUUCAAGUCCAGUCAGGGGAGCCA